ACGUACCAAUGUACGUUCCGGUUCCUGCGCUGCGGGCGGCACCACCUGACGGCCGCUCGCUACGCCCUGAAAGCG
rnacentral:sRNA from 1 species